rnacentral:rRNA from 1 species
CAGCGACUUAUAUUCUGUAGCAAGGUUAACCGUAUAGGGGAGCCGAAGGGAAACCGAGUCUUAACUGGGCGUUAAGUUGCAGGGUAUAGACCCGAAACCCGGUGAUCUAGCCAUGGGCAGGUUGAAGGUUGGGUAACACUAACUGGAGGACCGAACCGACUAAUGUUGAAAAAUUAGCGGAUGACUUGUGGCUGGGGGUGAAAGGCCAAUCAAACCGGGAGAUAGCUGGUUCUCCCCGAAAGCUAUUUAGGUAGCGCCUCGUGAACUCAUCUUCGGGGGUAGAGCACUGUUUCGGCUAGGGGGUCAUCCCGACUUACCAACCCGAUGCAAACUGCGAAUACCGAAGAAUGUUAUCACGGGAGACACACGGCGGGUGCUAACGUCCGUCGUGAAGAGGGAAACAACCCAGACCGCCAGCUAAGGUCCCAAAGUCACAGUUAAGUGGGAAACGAUGUGGGAAGGCUCAGACAGCCAGGAUGUUGGCUUAGAAGCAGCCAUCAUUUAAAGAAAGCGUAAUAGCUCACUGGUCGAGUCGGCCUGCGCGGAAGAUGUAACGGGGCUAAACUGUGCACCGAAGCUGCGGCAGCGACGCUUAUGCGUUGUUGGGUAGGGGAGCGUUCUGUAAGCCUGCGAAGGUGUCCUGUGAGGGAUGCUGGAGGUAUCAGAAGUGCGAAUGCUGACAUAAGUAACGAUAAUGCGGGUGAAAAGCCCGCUCGCCGGAAGACCAAGGGUUCCUGUCCAACGUUAAUCGGGGCAGGGUGAGUCGACCCCUAAGGCGAGGCCGAAAGGCGUAGUCGAUGGGAAACGGGUUAAUAUUCCCGUACUUGGUGUUACUGCGAAGGGGGGACGGAGAAGGCUAUGUUGGCCGGGCGACGGUUGUCCCGGUUUAAGCGUGUAGGCUGGUUUUCCAGGCAAAUCCGGAAAAUCAAGGCUGAGGCGUGAUGACGAGGCACUACGGUGCUGAAGCAACAAAUGCCCUGCUUCCAGGAAAAGCCUCUAAGCAUCAGGUAACAUCAAAUCGUACCCCAAACCGACACAGGUGGUCAGGUAGAGAAUACCAAGGCGCUUGAGAGAACUCGGGUGAAGGAACUAGGCAAAAUGGUGCCGUAACUUCGGGAGAAGGCACGCUGACACGUAGGUGAAGUGAUUUACUCAUGGAGCUGAAGUCAGUCGAAGAUACCAGCUGGCUGCAACUGUUUAUUAAAAACACAGCACUGUGCAAACACGAAAGUGGACGUAUACGGUGUGACGCCUGCCCGGUGCCGGAAGGUUAAUUGAUGGGGUCAGCGCAAGCGAAGCUCCUGAUCGAAGCCCCGGUAAACGGCGGCCGUAACUAUAACGGUCCUAAGGUAGCGAAAUUCCUUGUCGGGUAAGUUCCGACCUGCACGAAUGGCGUAAUGAUGGCCAGGCUGUCUCCACCCGAGACUCAGUGAAAUUGAACUCGCUGUGAAGAUGCAGUGUACCCGCGGCAAGACGGAAAGACCCCGUGAACCUUUACUAUAGCUUGACACUGAACAUUGAGCCUUGAUGUGUAGGAUAGGUGGGAGGCUUUGAAGUGUGGACGCCAGUCUGCAUGGAGCCGACCUUGAAAUACCACCCUUUAAUGUUU